rnacentral:rRNA from 1 species
UACUGAGUGGCAGACGGGUGAGUAACAUGUGGGAAUCUGCCUUGUGGUUCAGGACAACAUUGGGAAACCGAUGCUAAUACUGGAUAAGCCCUUACGGGGAAAGUUUUAAUGCCAUAAGAUGAGCCCGCAUUUGAUUAGUUAGUUGGUGAGGUAAUGGCUCACCAAGACAAUGAUCAAUAGCUGAUCUGAGAGGAUGAUCAGCCACACUGGGACUGAGACACGGCCCAGACUCCUACGGGAGGCAGCAGUGGGGAAUCUUGCACAAUGGAGGAAACUCUGAUGCAGCGAUGCCGCGUGAGUGAAGAAGGCCUUUGGGUUGUAAAGCUCUUUUGUAGGGGAAGAUAAUGACUGUACCCUAAGAAUAAGGUCCGGCUAACUUCGUGCCAGCAGCCGCGGUAAUACGAAGGGACCUAGCGUAGUUCGGAAUUACUGGGCGUAAAGCGCGCGUAGGCCGUUGAGUUAGUUAAUUGUGAAAUCCCAAAGCUUAACUUUGGAACUGCAGUUAAAACU